rnacentral:rRNA from 1 species
AUUGAACGCUGGCGGCAUGCCUUACACAUGCAAGUCGAACGGUAACAGGUCUUCGGAUGCUGACGAGUGGCGGACGGGUGAGUAAUACAUCGGAACGUGCCUAGUAGUGGGGGAUAACUACUCGAAAGAGUGGCUAAUACCGCAUGAGAUCUACGGAUGAAAGCAGGGGAUCGCAAGACCUUGUGCUACUAGAGCGGCCGAUGGCAGAUUAGGUAGUUGGUGGGAUAAAAGCUUACCAAGCCGACGAUCUGUAGCUGGUCUGAGAGGACGAUCAGCCACACUGGGACUGAGACACGGCCCAGACUCCUACGGGAGGCAGCAGUGGAGAAUUUUGGACAAUGGGCGCAAGCCUGAUCCAGCAAUGCCGCGUGCAGGAUGAAGGCCUUCGGGUUGUAAACUGCUUUUGUACGGAACGAAAAGCCCUGGGUUAAUACCCUGGGGUCAUGACGGUACCGUAAGAAUAAGCACCGGCUAACUACGUGCCAGCCGCCGCCGUAA